GUUAUUCCUUAUCUUCUUUAAUCAGUUAGUUUAUUGGAGCCUGUCUUCCUGCAUUCUGGCUUAGGUUUCGCCAUAAGCAAAACGCAUGAAGACAGGCUCAUCGUCGUCAUUGCCGCAUUCAGAGCCCCA
rfam:Erwinia carotovora subsp. atroseptica SCRI1043, complete genome